GUCUUGGUUUGAUCACGUCCUUGAAUACUGGAAGCAGAGGGGAAAGAAGAAUUUUCUGUUUCUAAAAUACGAAGAUCUCCAUAAGGACCUCAAGGGGUGUAUUUGUAAACUCGCUGAGCUCGUCGAGAAGGAUCUAGCUGAUGAUGUCAUUAACGGUAUCAUAGAGUGCGUGACCUUUGAUGGCAUGAAGAAGUCAUAUCAACAGGUUGUUAAUAAGUAUGGGGAGAAAGGGAAAGAGAUGAUCACCCUGUUUGAUAUACCACACCUCAGGAAAGGACGAGUUGGUGACUGGAAAAACUUCUUUACAGUGACACAGAACGCCAUCUUCGACAAGAUCUACGCCCAGAGAAUGGAAGGAACCGGCUUGGAAUUUGACUUUGAGAUUUAAGAUCUUGCUGUUGAAGGGCCUGCGAUUUAACAGUGCCACAACGCCAUGCUGAUUUUUUCUAGGCCUGCAAAACGCCAAAUAAGAAAUUCCUUUAAGGUUAACAGACAUUGAAAACAUUUUGUUCUCGUAAAAUAUUUCAAAA